rnacentral:rRNA from 1 species
UGGUGGAGUGAUUUGUCUGGUUAAUUCCGUUAACGAACGAGACCUUAGCCUACUAAAUAGUCGCUCCAAUCAUGAUUGGAUGUGACUUCUUAGAGGGACUUUGUUAACAAAUAACAAGGAAGUUUGUAGGCAAUAACA